rnacentral:rRNA from 1 species
AGUGCAUGUGGUGGAUGCCUUGGCGAUCACAGGCGAUGAAGGACGCGGUAGCCUGCGAAAAGCGGUGGGGAGCUGGCAAACGAGCUUUGAUCCACCGAUAUCCGAAUGGGGAAACCCGGCCCGUAUGGGUCAUCCGUAGCUGAAUACAUAGGCUACGUGAAGCGAACGCGGUGAACUGAAACAUCUAAGUAACCGCAGGAAAAGAAAUCAACCGAGAUUCCCAGAGUAGUGGCGAGCGAAAUGGGACCAGCCUGUACUCUUUAUCUUCAUUGUUAGUCGAAGGCUCUGGAAAGUGCCGCCAUAGCAGGUGAUAGCCCUGUAGACGAAAACAGCGAGGAAGAACUGGGUGUACGAGAAGUAGGGCGGGACACGUGAAAUCCUGUCUGAAGAUGGGGGGACCAUCCUCCAAGGCUAAAUACUCGUGAUCGACCGAUAGUGAACCAGUACCGUGAGGGAAAGGCGAAAAGAACCCCGGGAGGGGAGUGAAACAGAUCCUGAAACCGCAUGCAUACAAACAGUCGGAGCCUUCGCAAGGGGGUGACGGCGUACCUUUUGUAUAAUGGGUCAGCGACUUACAUUCAGUGGCAAGCUUAACCGAUUAGGGCAGGCGUAGCGAAAGCGAGUCCGAACAGGGCGAUUCAGUCGCUGGGUGUAGACCCGAAACCAGGUGAUCUAUCCAUGGCCAGGAUGAAGGUGCGGUAACACGUACUGGAGGUCCGAACCCACUAACGUUGAAAAGUUAGGGGAUGAGCUGUGGAUAGGGGUGAAAGGCUAAACAAACCUGGAAAUAGCUGGUUCUCUCCGAAAACUAUUUAGGUAGUGCCUCGUGUAUCACCUUCGGGGGUAGAGCACUGUCAUGGUUGUGGGGUCCAUUGCGGAUUACUACGCCAUAGCAAACUCCGAAUACCGAAGAGUGCAAUCACGGGAGACAGACAUCGGGUGCUAACGUCCGGUGUCAAGAGGGAAACAACCCAGACCGCCAGCUAAGGUCCCCAAAUAUUGCUAAGUGGGAAACGAAGUGGGAAGGCUAAAACAGUCAGGAGGUUGGCUUAGAAGCAGCCAUCCUUUAAAGAAAGCGUAAUAGCUCACUGAUCGAGUCGUCCUGCGCGGAAGAAUUGUAACGGGGCUAAGCAAUAUACCGAAGCUGCGGAUGCACAUUUAUGUGCAUGGUAGGAGAGCGUUCCGUAAGCCUGCGAAGGUGCAUUGAAAGUGUGCUGGAGGUAUCGGAAGUGCGAAUGCUGACAUGAGUAGCGAUAAAGGGGGUGAAAGGCCCCCUCGCCGUAAGCCCAAGGUUUCCUACGCAACGUUCAUCGGCGUAGGGUGAGUCGGCCCCUAAGGCGAGGCAGAAAUGCGUAGCUGAUGGGAAGCAGGUUAAUAUUCCUGCACCAUUGUUAAAUGCGAUGGGGGGACGGAUCGCGGAAGGUUGUCCGGGUGUUGGAAGUCCCGGUCCUUGCAUUGGAGAAGGCGCUUUGGCAAAUCCGGGCGCGGAAUUCAAGGGUGCGAGGCCAUUCACUUCGGUGAAGAAGCAAUCGGAAGUGGUUCCAAGAAAAGCCUCUAAGCUUCAGUUUAACAGGACCGUACCGCAAACCGACACAGGUGGGCGAGAUGAGUAUUCUAAGGCGCUUGAGAGAACUCGGGAGAAGGAACUCGGCAAAUUGGUACCGUAACUUCGGGAUAAGGUACGCCCCUGUAGCCUGACUGGCCUGCGCCAGAAGGGUGAAGGGGUUGCAAUAAACUGGUGGCUGCGACUGUUUAAUAAAAACACAGCACUCUGCAAACACGAAAGUGGACGUAUAGGGUGUGACGCCUGCCCGGUGCCGGAAGAUUAAAUGAUGGGGUGCAAGCUCUUGAUUGAAGUCCCGGUAAACGGCGGCCGUAACUAUAACGGUCCUAAGGUAGCGAAAUUCCUUGUCGGGUAAGUUCCGACCCGCACGAAUGGCGUAAUGAUUUGGGCACUGUCUCAACAACGAAUCCGGCGAAAUUGUAGUGCAAGUGAAGAUGCUUGCUACCCGCGAUUGGACGGAAAGACCCCGUAGAGCUUUACUGUAGUUUAGCAUUGAGUUUCGGUAUUGUCUGUACAGGAUAGGUGGGAGACUGGGAUACAGCGGCGUCAGCUGCUGUGGAGUCGUCCUUGGGAUACCACCCUGACAGUACUGGAAUUCUAACCGGAGGCCAUGAAGCUGGUCACGGGACAUUGCUAGAUGGGCAGUUUGACUGGGGCGGU